UUGGCAUCGCCGCCUUGGCUAAGAUCAUGUGUAUUCAUUCUUUAUCAGUUUAAUAUCUGAUACGCCCCUAUCUGGGAAUCUAGGUAUAUUAAAUUGAUUUUUAAUAGGGAGAUGGAAUAGGGGCUUGUCUGGCCCACUCCACGCGAUCGCAUCUGGUAUUGCAGUACUUCCAGGAGAGCGUGUGCACU